AAUCAACGCUGGCGGCGUGCCUAACACAUGCAAGUCGAACGCGAAAGUGGAGCAAUCCAUGAGUAGAGUGGCGAACGGGUGAGUAACGCGUGGGUGACCUACCUUCGAAUGGGGGAUAACGUCCCGGAAGGGACGCUAAUACCGCAUGACAUCCUGCCUUUGAACAGGUGGAGAUCAGAGCCGGGGAUCGCAAGACCUGG
rnacentral:rRNA from 1 species